rnacentral:rRNA from 1 species
UAUGUGAUCGUCUCUCGCAUAUCAAUAAGCGGAGGAAAAGAAACUAACAAGGAUUCCCCUAGUAACGGCGAGUGAAGCGGGAAGAGCUCAAAAUAAUUUGAAAUCUUAAAGGGUUUCCCUUUACGAAUUGUAGUUUAAAGAAGUGUUUUCUGUUGAGGUUUUGGUAAAAGUUCUUUGGAAUAGGACAUCAUAGAGGGUGAGAAUCCCGUAUUUGACCUUUACUUUCAACUUUGUGAUACACUUUCAAAGAGUCGGAUUGUUUGGGAAUGCAGUCCAAAAUGGGUGGUAAAUUUCAUCUAAAGCUAAAUAUUGGCGAGAGACCGAUAGCGAACAAGUACCGUGAGGGAAAGAUGAAAAGAACUUUGAAAAGAGAGUUGAAACAGUACGUGAAAUUGUCAAAAGGGAAGCGUUUGACACCAGUGUUGUUUUUCUGAAAAUCAAUUAAAGAACUGUUUAUGCUAAGCUGUUUAGACUUUAUCAGCUAACUGUUUAGUUUUGAGCUUUUCUUUAAUGCACUUUUCAGUUAACAAGUCAACAUCAAUUUCUUUUGCUGUAAAAAAGCUUGAGGAAGGUGGCUUGAGAUUCGUCUUAAGUGUUUAUAGCCUCUUGCCUAUGCAGUCGGAGAGAUUGAGGUCUGCAGCGUAGAUCCUUCGGGGCUAAAUGCAUUUGUGCUAAGUUAUAACAUUUUAUAGACAACUUGUUGACUAUGAUUUGUCUUGUAGCUUACUCGCUUAUGUUAUUUUACCUACGCUUAGGAUGUUGAGUAGCGACAUACGCAC